GAUGAACGCUAGCGGCAGGCUUAAUACAUGCAAGUCGUGGGGCAGCAUGAAGUAGCAAUACUUUGAUGGCGACCGGCAAACGGGUGCGGAACACGUACACAACCUUCCUUUUAGUGGGGAAUAGCCCAGAGAAAUUUGGAUUAAUACCCCGUAACAUAGCGAUGAGGCAUCUCAUUGCUAUUAUAGCUUCGGCGCUAGGUGAUGGGUGUGCGUAUGAUUAGAUAGUUGGCGAGGUAACGGCUCACCAAGUCUACGAUCAUUAGCUGAUGUGAGAGCAUGAUCAGCCACACGGGCACUGAGACACGGGCCCGACUCCUACGGGAGGCAGCAGUAAGGAAUAUUGGUCAAUGGACGAGAGUCUGAACCAGCCAUGCCGCGUGAAGGAUUAAGGUCCUCUGGAUUGUAAACUUCUUUUAUAUGGGACGAAAAAAGGUCUUUCUAGAUCACUUGACGGUACCAUAUGAAUAAGCACCGGCUAACUCCGUGCCAGCAGCCGCGGUAAAAC
rnacentral:rRNA from 1 species